rnacentral:piRNA from 1 species
UGCCAAAAGAUGAAGGCCUUAGGUGGCUGUUU